CGGAGGGUGCAAGCGUUAUCCGGAUUCACUGGGUUUAAAGGGUGCGUAGGUGGGUUGGUAAGUCAGUGGUGAAAUCUCCGAGCUUAACUUGGAAACUGCCAUUGAUACUAUCAGUCUUGAAUACCGUGGAGGUCAGCGGAAUAUGUCAUGUAGCGGUGAAAUGCUUAGAUAUGACAUAGAACACCAAUUGCGAAGGCAGCUGGCUACACGAAUAUUGACACUGAGGCACGAAAGCGUGGGGAUCAAACAGGAUUAGAUACCCUGGUAGUCCACGCCCUAAACUAUGGAUACUCGACAUACGCGAUACACUGUGUGUGUCUGAGCGAAAGCAUUAAGUAUCCACCUGGAAGUACGAUCGCAAGAUUG
rnacentral:rRNA from 1 species